GGAUCCAGACUUUGAUUCUGGCUCAGGACGAACGCUGGCGGCGCGCCUAACACAUGCAAGUCGAGCGGGAAGCUUUUUAAGGAUUCUUCGGAUGAAUUAAAAAGUGGAGAGCGGCGGACGGGUGAGUAACGCGUGAGAAACCUGCCCUAUACAGGGGGAUAGCCAUUGGAAACGAUGAUUAAUACCCCAUAUGACCACAGUAUCGCAUGAUACAGCGGUGAAAACUUCCGGUGGUAUAGGAUGGUCUCGCGUCUGAUUAGCUAGUUGGUGGGGUAACGGCCUACCAAGGCGACGAUCAGUAGCCGGCCUGAGAGGGUGACCGGCCACACUGGAACUGAGACACGGUCCAGACUCCUACGGGAGGCAGCAGUGGGGAAUAUUGCACAAUGGGCGAAAGCCUGAUGCAGCGACNCCGCGUGAACGAUGAAGGCUUUCGAGUCGUAAAGUUCUGUUCUUGGGGAAGAUAACGACGGUACCCAAGGAGAAAGCACCGGCUAAAUACGUGCCAGCAGCCGCGG
rnacentral:rRNA from 1 species